rnacentral:lncRNA from 1 species
UACAUGCAUGCAAAUUAAUUAAAUAUUUUUAAAACAAAAUGAUUAAAUAAACAUUUAUAAUUUCAUACCGCAAUAGAGCUUAAUUCAAUCCAAAUUUUUGGAUUCUUUAUUUUUCAAAACCUACAUCAAGUGAACAACACAAUAAUUUUUUAAUUAUUUCAACAAAAUUAUUAAUUAUUUAAUUAAAAACAGUAAAUCAAAUAAUUAAUUUCAUUAUUUUUAAAAAUAUUUAAAAACAGAAAAUUAUUUAUUUAUUUCAAAAUAUUAUUAAUUCUUUAAUUAAAAACAGUAAAUAAAAUAAAGAUUUUAAAUUAUUUUUAAAAUUAUUUAUUAAUUUUUUAAUUUAAAAACAGUAAAUUAUUUAUUUAUUUAUUUAAAGAAAAUAUUAAUUAAUUGUUUUAUUAAAUCAAUAAUAAAAGUAAUUAGUAUUUUUAUUAAAUACACUUUCAUUUAAUUAAAAAACAGAAAAACAGUAAAUUAAUUAUUUAUUUAUUGAAAAAAAUUAUAUUCAUUCAUAUUUAAUUAUUAACAUAUACAAUACAUUAAUGUAAAUUGUUAAUUAAUUACUAUUUUUUUAAUAAAUAACAUUCAAUUAAAUAAUUAUUAAUUAUUAAAUAAUAUUAUUUUACAAUUUAUUAAAUAAUAAAACAUAUUAUUUUUUAACAUAAACAUUUAAUAUUUCAUUAAUAACAUAUUAAUUUUAUUGUAAUUAAUUACUUGAAUUCAUUCAAAUUAAUUAAUUACAUUAAAAACACAUUAAUUAUUUAAUAUAAAUUUUAAAUUAUUUUAAAACAUAAAUUAAUUUAUUUUUUUUUAAAAUAAUUUAAAAACAGAAAAUAAUUAAAACAAAUUUAUUUCAUGCAAAUAAUUAAUUAAGAUAUAGAUUCAUGUCAAUUAUUAAUUAAAUUGAUAUAUAAUUACAAUUAUUUAAAUAAUUUAAAAAUAAGUUGAUUAAAUAGAAAAUUUAAUUAUUUUCUGUUUGAAAAUAAUUAUAUAAUAAAAUAAUUAUUUCUUUAAAUUCUUUCUAAUAUAUAAAUUAAAACAAUAUAAAAAUAGUAAUUAAAUAAUUCAUUUUAAAUUAUAUUUACAAAUAUAUUAAACAUAAACUUUCACAGAUCGAUAUAUACCUUCGCAGACGAAGAUCGCAGAUCAAUACCUUCACAAAUCGAUACCUUCACAAAUUAAUAUAUUGAUGAAGAUUAGUAUAUAUUAAUAAAUCAAUAGAAAGGAUUAGUACACUAAUUAAACAAACUAAAACAGUACAUAAACUAACUAAAAAAUACAAUAACUAAAUGAUGCAAUAUAAUUCCAAUUACUUGACAAUAGUACAUGAAAAUGUAUAAUUCAUUUAUAAAACAUUCAUAUAACACUAAAAUAAAACUCAUUCAUCACUUAUUUGAGUUUGAUUAAAAGCAAUCACUUAAUUUAUUAACAAAUAAACAAUAGAUUAGUUGAUAAUUAACAAUAACAAACAAACAAAGAUAAACCCAAUCAUCAAAACAGUAGAUUCCAAUAACAAACAAACAUAGAUUAUAGUUGAUACUUAAAUAACAAACAAACAUACCCAAUUAAUUAAAUAACAAAAUCAUAAUAAAAAAAUUUCAUACAUCGAUUCCUAACAUUCAAACCAUAAAACCAUAAAUCAAAAUCAUAAAUCAACAUACCCACAUACCCACAUAAUAAAACCAAAAAUCAAAAUCCAUAAUGUGCGUCAUACCAUAAAACCAUAAAACCAUAAAUCAAAAUCAAAAACCAAAAUCAAAAACCAUAAAACCAUAAUAAAAAAUAACCCAUCACAUACCUUCACAGAUGACCGGCGAGGUGAGGGGCAGCGCACGGCGAGGCUAGGCGAGACCGACCGGCAGGAGCGAGCGGCGGGAGUGAGCGGCGGCGAGAAAUCGGGAGUCGGCGGUCGUCAGUGGGC